AGAGUUUGAUCCUGGCUCAGGAUGAACGCUGGCGGUCUGCUUAACACAUGCAAGUCGAACGGAAUCCUUCGGGAUUUAGUGGCGGACGGGUGAGUAACACGUGAGAAUCUGCACUCAGGAUGGGGACAACAGCGGGAAACUGCUGCUAAUACCCAAUGUGCCGCAAGGUGAAAGAUUUAUCGCCUGAGAAUGAGCUCGCGGCCGAUUAGUUAGUUGGUGGGGUAAAGGCCUACCAAGACGGCGAUCGGUAGCUGGUCUGAGAGGAUGAGCAGCCACACUGGGACUGAGACACGGCCCAGACUCCUACGGGAGGCAGCAGUGGGGAAUUUUCCGCAAUGGGCGCAAGCCUGACGGAGCAAGACCGCGUGGGGGAGGAAGGCUCUUGGGUUGUAAACCCCUUUUCUCAGGGAAGAAGUUCUGACGGUACCUGAGGAAUCAGCCUCGGCUAACUCCGUGCCAGCAGCCGCGGUAAUACGGAGGAGGCAAGCGUUAUCCGGAAUUAUUGGGCGUAAAGCGUCCGCAGGUGGUGGGGCAAGUCGGCGGUUAAAGACUGGGGCUUAACUCCAGAAAGGCCGUGGAAACUGCACCACUAGAGGGCAGUAGGGGUAGAGGGAAUUCCCGGUGUAGCGGUGAAAUGCGUAGAGAUCGGGAAGAACACCAGUGGCGAAAGCGCUCUACUGGACUGCAACUGACACUCAGGGACGAAAGCUAGGGGAGCGAAUGGGGAUUUAGAUACCCCAGUAGUCUAGCCGUAAACGAUGGAUACUAGGGUGUUUGUCUGUUUCGACCCAGAACAGUGG
rnacentral:rRNA from 1 species